AUUGAACGCUGGCGGCAUGCCUUACACAUGCAAGUCGAGCGGCAGCGCGGGGGCAACCCUGGCGGCGAGCGGCGAACGGGUGAGUAAUGCAUCGGAACGUGUCCUCUUGUGGGGGAUAACCAGUCGAAAGACUGGCUAAUACCGCAUGAGAUCGAGAGAUGAAAGCGGGGGACCGCAAGGCCUCGCGCGAGAGGAGCGGCCGAUGCCGGAUUGGCUAGUUGGCGGGGUAAUGGCCCACCAAGGCGACGAUCCGUAGCUGGUCGGAGAGGACGACAAGCCACACUGGGACUGAGACACGGCCCAGACUCCUACGGGAGGCAGCAGUAGGGAAUUUUGGACAGUGGGGGCAACCCUGAUCCAGCCAUGCCGCGUGUGUGAAGAAGGCCUUCGGGUUGUAAAGCACUUUCGGCCGGAACGAAAUCGCGCGAUCUAAUAAGUCGCGUGGAUGACGGUACCGGAAGAAGAAGCACCGGCUAGCUACGUGCCAGCCGCCGCGGUAAUAC
rnacentral:rRNA from 1 species